rnacentral:lncRNA from 15 species
AUAUGCCGGGAAUAUUUAGGAAUAUACUGGGAAUAUACAAGGAAUAGACCGGGAAUACAAAGUGAAUAUACAGGGAAUAUUCGGGAAUAUACCGGGAAUACACAAGAAAUAUGCCGGGAAUAUUUGGGAAUAUACUUGGAAUAUACAGGGAAUAUUCUGAAAUACACAGGGAAUAUUCGGGAAUAUGUGGGAAUAUACCGGGAAUACACAGGGAAUAUUUGGGAAUAUACAAGGAAUAGACCGGGAAUACGCAGGGAAUAUUCUGAAAUACACAGGGAAUAUUCGGGAAUAUGUGGGAAUAUACCGGGAAUACACAGGGAAUAUUUGGGAAUACACAAGAAAUAUGCCGGGAAUAUUUGGGAAUAUACUGGGAAUACACAGGGAAUAUACUCGGAAUACACAGGGAAUAUACCGGGAAUACCCNAGAAAUAUACCAGGAAUAUACCGGGAAUAUACUCUGAAUAUUCUGGAAUAUUUGGGAAUAUUCGGGAAUAUACCGGGAAUACACUGGGAAUAUNCAGGGAA